UACGUAGGGGGCAAGCGUUGUCCGGAUUUAUUGGGCGUAAAGAGCGUGUAGGCGGCCAGGUAGGUCCGUUGUGAAAACUCGAGGCUCAACCUCGAGACGCCGAUGGAAACCAUCUGGCUAGAGUCCGGAAGAGGAGAGUGGAAUUCCCGGUGUAGCGGUGAAAUGCGCAGAUAUCGGGAAGAACACCCGUGGCUAAGGCGGCUCUCUGGGACGGUACUGACGCUGAGACGCGAAAGCUAGGGGAGCGAACAGG
rnacentral:rRNA from 1 species